UCACAGCUUGACUUGUUUGAUGAUGUUG
rnacentral:piRNA from 1 species